rnacentral:rRNA from 1 species
UACGUAGGGGGCUAGCGUUGUCCGGAAUCAUUGGGCGUAAAGAGCGUGUAGGCGGCCCGGUAAGCCCGCUGUGAAAGUCGGGGGCUCAACCCUCGAAUGCCGGUGGAUACUGUCGGGCUAGAGUGCGGAAGAGGCGAGUGGAAUUCCUGGUGUAGCGGUGGAAUGCGCAGAUAUCAGGAGGAACACCGAUGGCGAAGGCAGAUCUCUGGGCCGUAACUGACGCUGAGGAGCGAAAGCGUGGGGAGCGAACAGG